rnacentral:rRNA from 1 species
GACGAACGCUGGCGGCGUGCUUAACACAUGCAAGUCGAACGGAAAGGCCCCCACCAUUUUUGGUGGGGGUGCUCGAGUGGCGAACGGGUGAGUAACACGUGGGUGAUCUGCCCUGUACUUCGGGAUAAGCUUGGGAAACUGGGUCUAAUACCGGAUAGGACCAUGGUUUAGUGUCUCAUGGUGGAAAAAUUAUUGUUUUGGUGCAGGAUGAGCUCGCGGCCUAUCAGCUUGUUGCUGGGGUAAUGGCCUACCAAGGCGUCGACGGGUAGCCGGCCUGAGAGGGUGGACGGCCACAUUGGGACUGAGAUACGGCCCAGACUCCUACGGGAGGCAGCAGUGGGGAAUAUUGCACAAUGGGCGCAAGCCUGAUGCAGCGACGCCGCGUGGGGGAUGACGGCCUUCGGGUUGUAAACUCCUUUCGUUAGGGACGAAGCCACACCUUUUU